GAUUGCGUAAUUUAUAAACAAGUAGUUGUUGGAUCCAAACUAACAAGCCAGCCAUGAUUUUCUUGUGCUGUAAACCAUAAUCAAAGUCAGCUCGGCUCGGUCGAUUUACACUCAUGAGUCAUAAUCCUAGCAAAAGGAAGAAUUCGAAAUCGGCUCAGUCCAUUUACACCUAUAAACCUAACAAAAGAAAGAGAGAAUUCAAAAUGAAUCCACACCUAAACAUGUAUAUUAUUCAAACGUUUGAUGUCUAUAUAACUAACCCCUGGCCUGUAUAUGGAUCUACCCUGACUCAGUACAUUAUUGUUCGAAACAAGAACGAUUAGCAGCCCAUUUGGGAAUGGAAAUAGGUUGCAACUUGGUUUGGUUAAUACUCAAGGUCCAGGCCCAUGGAGUUAGUAAUCUCCUCCUUACAAGGAUGACAGUGGCUUAGGGCAGAGGCAGAUUUUGAUAUUUGAUAUUGUCUUGUUGAUGGUGUUGAGAUGUGGGGUUGGAGUUGGACACACGGCGGCCAUCUUUGUUGUUAAGCUCCACUGUUAGUUUUUGCAGCAUGAAGCCAAUUCAUCUCCUGGUCCUUGCUGCUGGAAUGUCAGUAAUACUUUUAUUAAUCAUUGAAGCCGCUGAUGCCAGGAAGUUUGUAGUUGAUCAAGAGGUGAAAAAUUACUCCAACAACAUAUUUGGCAAUCAAUAUCAUUUUAUCCCAAGUACUACUACUACCACUAAACAUGGUGGUAAUCGUAUUCUGGAACAUGCCAUGACUGGUGUUUCCGGCAGUACUAGUUCAAAAGACGGACAUCAUAAUCGUUAACUACUGUUCGACUCUCUUCUCCUCUUCUCUUUGCUGUGUUGUUAUGGUUUAUAUAAAAGAAUCAAGUGUAGACAAGCUGCAGCAACAACAGUCGGAGAAUUUGACAUGGGGUUCCUAUUAUGCUAGCUAUUACGUUUGUCUUUUCAGUUGAAGGUUUGAACCAUCUUUGUAAUUGUAAUCUAGCUUUGGUCUGUAAUAGAGACUUUUGCGAGAUUUCGACCGGUAAGAGAGCACAUUAUCAGUCUUCUGAAUUCCAAUCAGACUAAGCAAAGACUUAAGUCUAU